rnacentral:lncRNA from 1 species
UCAGGCUUUUCUGAUUACCUUAACAAGAGCACAGAACCAGACCACAUCCUUGAGGAUUGGGGAGUAUUUUCCCCCAGUCAGGAGGAGUUUUCCUACCGUCAAUCAUCCUAAAAGAGGAAGGAAUGAUACAAGCGAGAGGAGUUCCUCCUCCCCAGAGCCUGGAGAAGAGUGUGAGCGUGCGGUAAGGAGCGGGCAGUUGGGGAGCCGCAGAGGUGGGCAAUGCAGGAGCACCAGGCGGAGAAGCUGUCUUGUCAGGAAGGCAGAAGCAGCCUGAGGAUCAAACGAAGAUGACUGAGCAGAAGAAACUGAGGAGUCUGUGCCUGAACAGUCACCUCUGAAAUCUAUCCACCAUUCUCUUAGGAAGUGCAAACCAGCCAUGUGAAAAUAUCACAUAGAGGUCCUGAGCAUCCAUGAGCAGCAACCACUAGACUUGUGAGUGGAUGAGCCUUCAGAUGAGCACAGACCCAGCCUUGAAGUCUUCCAGCUGAGGCCUCAGACAUCAUGGAGGAGAGACAAGCCAUCCACAUCUGAAUGCCUGACCCACAAAUCCAUGAGCAGAAUAAAUGGUUGUUUUGAUAUAAUUUGUAACAAAGAUAUAGUAACUGGAACACUCAAUUUCCUCAUCUGGAAAAAUAGAAUAAGAACAGUAUUUGGAGGGUUGUUUUGAGGAUUAAAUGAGGCAUGUAAAGCAUUUGGUAUAGUGGCAGGCACACUGCAGAUAACAAAUAAAUGGAAAUUACUACGACCAUGUUAACAGACUGUCGUCUCUGCUAUAGCCCAACAUCAGUUUGCCUCCUCUUUCCAACUCCCUGGUAGAAAAGUCAAGCCCCAUUCUGAAGCUGCACCCCUAGAAAUAUUCCAGAACUAAAGCAGCCUCUCAUUUAUGUGGAGCUAGACUAGCUAGCAGUCUAUAUCCCUAAUCCCUUCCAGUAAACUUGAACUCUGAAGGUAGGAAUUAACAGAGAUGAAGGGAGUGGAGGGAACAGUCAAGAGUGGACAAAGUAGACAAAAACUCCUUUGCGAUGAACCUGCUCUCUAAGUUUCUUCUGUUGCCACUUAGGGAA